UACAGGGGGUGCAAACGUUGCUCGGAAUCAUUGGGCGUAAAGCGCACGUAGGCGGUUCGUUAUGUCGGAUGUGAAAGCCCUCAGCUCAACUGAGGAAGUGCGCCCGAAACUGCAGAGCUUGAGUACCGGAGAGGAUGGCGGAAUUCCCCAAGUAGAGGUGAAAUUCGUAGAUAUGGGGAGGAACACCGGUGGCGAAGGCGGCCAUCUGGACGGAUACUGACGCUGAGACGCGAAAGCGUGGGGAGCAAACAGG
rnacentral:rRNA from 1 species